rfam:Tupaia chinensis contig137, whole genome shotgun sequence.
UCCAGGCCUUAUCAAAGCUGCAGCUGCUUUUCUGUAGCCGCUGUGGUCAAAGAGGAGCUCAGAGUGACAGGUUUUCCUCACGGUCGCCUUUCGGUUUGCUGUAGCAGGUCUGCAACAUUGCAGGGAAAGACAGCC